UACGAGAGGCCCAAACGUUAUUCGGAAUUACUGGGCUUAAAGAGUUCGUAGGCGGCAUGUAAAGUAGGGUGUGAAAGCCCUCGGCUCAACCGAGGAAUUGCGCUCUAAACUGUCGUGCUCGAGGAAUCUAGAGGUGAGCGGAACUGAUGGUGGAGCGGUGAAAUGCGUUGAUAUCAUCAGGAACACCGGAGGCGAAGGCGCCUCACUGGGGAUUUUCUGACGCUGAGGAACGAAAGCCAGGGGAGCGAACGGG
rnacentral:rRNA from 1 species